rfam:Chryseobacterium sp. IHB B 17019, complete genome.
UCCUAGCCCCGAUUGCAGCGGCAUCCUUUUGUGGAGCGCAGCGAAACAAAAGAUAUAGCGGAAAGCGGGAAAUAGC